AUGCGAAGUACAGGAUCUCUUACUUCUUUUUGACAACUCUUUGUCAUUCCGACGUGGCCACUCUUCUUUGUUCACUGGCUACGAUCUCUCUUUCUCUGUUUCAACGACAGUUAGAUUGUUACGGGUUCUGUACUUCAUUCAAGCUCUAGCUUCGCACUAUUAUUGAUAUCUUUUUGUUAGUAUAACAGAGGAUUCUAAAGAGUAUUACAAAGCAAUCUGGUGAGUGGUGAUGUUUCAUGUAUACAUGCUUCGUGGGGUGUCUGUUCCAGCUCUUGACAAAGAUUGUCCUUGGGAGUUCCUGCCCCAAUAUAUUAGAUUAUUAGGUGGUGACUUGCAUGCUGUAAGUUAUAGCUGGAUGCUUCCACAUUCUGUUCCUUAAAUUGGGAACAGCUUUUCUGACAGCCACGUCAGUCUUUGAGAACACUGAAGUUUCAGAAGCUUGAAGAUCCAGCUAAGGGUGAAGAUACACUUGUUGCCAAAUUGAAGUUGUUGUAUGACUGGCUUAUGGAAUCCAAGCCUUGGAGGAAGUAACUGGGUAAGAUGAUGAGGCCACGAAUCUAGUUUUUGUGCCAAAGAAAAAUAGUGUGUUGUUGUUAUGUUGCCUCAUUCCAAUUCUUUGUUGGUAUAGACAAAAAUAAUAUAGACCUGUGUACUCAAACUCAAUAGGCCUCUAAUGGUU